rnacentral:lncRNA from 1 species
CCUUGCUUCUUAAGUUUUCUUGUAUUUGAAAGGACCAGCCUCUGCCUAAGGUCUGGCAAGGGUCCCUUCAGAGUCAGCCAGUUCUCUUUACUGCGGCUUUCCCCUCAGACCCCAGCACCCCAUGCCCAUCUCCGAGCCCCCAGUGUCUCAUCUCACUGAGGUUUCUGCCAGGCGGCCUGGCUGCAAUCUGGUGUUAAGAUCCUAACAAUACCCUUUUUGUCUUUGUGGGGUCCCCUCACUGACAGACUCCUACACGACUCGUCUGGGUAGCCUCACAUCCUUGGCCUUUCAUUCUUGCUGUAUCUGUUGGCUUGUUGCCUUUCCUUUAGAACCGAGAGGCCACAGAGUUGAGAACAUCUUACCAUUCAUUCGAACUUCCUAACACCUGGGGUCCUGGCUGGGUAAAACUGAUUUAAGACAAAUCAACAUUGUGACGGCUUACAUUUGUGUAACAAGUCAUUUUGUGGAGCUUUCAGUAUUUUACAAACACUCAGUGCCUCCUUACAGGGUGAAUAUCAGCCCUGGGAAGCUGAGACUUCUGCCCUAGGGCCUGUGGAACUACGCUCACCAAAUGUGUAGAGCACAGGAAUGGAACUGGGCCUGAGUUCCCAAAGCAGGGCGGAGGUAUUUCUGCCUCAGUCUUUCCUCCUGCUGUCACUCCAGAGCACAACGUCUGUCUCCUGGGACCAAGUUUCCUGAGCAGAAUGCAUUACACUCGGUCCUCCCUGAGCAAACUGCAAAUGCCAGCCCUGCUCUGGCAAUGAGAUCCUCGCAUGCACGCUGGGGCAAUGACAGAUGUCGCCCUUCCCAGACAAAUCAGGGACACCUUCGCAAAUGGCUUUUAGCCUCUAGUGUUGGCUCUUCCGACCUGGCUGAAGAGAAGCAAAGGACACGUGGCUGCUGUGGCCCUUCAACUUCUCUGUGCUCUCCAAAGCCCUCUCAUGGAGCAGAAUUGUCAGCACAAGGCCAAGAGAAAGAAUAUAUAUUCAAGCUCCAUUUUGCAUGUCCCUGUUGAAUAAAGAGCUCUGAGAUUAGAAACAAGAAUCACGCACAAAUAUUUGAAAACGUUUCUCCUGUGAUAGUUCCUUGUCCAGAACACUAGAAUAGUCUUUACCUUGGUGUACCUGGGAUUUUAAUUAUAGGACACACCACCCCAAGGCCCAUACUCUGGAUGUUCAAGCAUUAUAGGGGGUAUAAUAUUGUCAGUCCAAAUCCUUUAUACUAUCCCCUCUAGAUUACUUAUAAUGUGCAAUGUAAACACUUGUUCUACUUUAUUAGGUAAUAUCAAGAGAAAAGUCUUUAAAAAUACUUUUCA